rnacentral:rRNA from 1 species
UAGGGAAUCUUCCGCAAUGGACGCAAGUCUGACGGAGCAACGCCGCGUGAGUGAAGAAGGAUUUCGGUUCGUAAAACUCUGUUGUUAGAGAAGAACAGCGCAUAGAGUAACUGUUAUGCGUGUGACGGUAUCUAACCAGAAAGCCACGGCUAACUACGUGCCAGCAGCCGCGGUAAUACGUAGGUGGCAAGCGUUGUCCGGAUUUAUUGGGCGUAAAGCGAGCGCAGGCGGUCAAUUAAGUCUGAUGUGAAAGCCCCCGGCUCAACCGGGGAGGGUCAUUGGAAACGGGUUGACUUGAGUGCAGAAGAGGAGAGUGGAAUUCCAUGUGUAGCGGUGAAAUGCGUAGAUAGAUGGAGGAACACCAGUGGCGAAGGCGACUCUCUGGUCUGUAACUGACGCUGAGGCUCGAAAGCGUGGGUAGCAAACAGG